UUGGUUCCUUCGCGGGGCUAUCGUGCGAA
rnacentral:sRNA from 1 species